UACGGAGGGUGCAAGCGUUAUCCGGAUUCACUGGGUUUAAAGGGUGUGUAGGCGGAUAUUUAAGUCAGUGGUGAAGUCUCCAGGCUCAACCUGGAAACUGCCAUUGAUACUAUUUAUCUUGAAUAUCGUUGAGGUAGGCGGAAUAUGUCAUGUAGCGGUGAAAUGCUUAGAGAUGACAUAGAACACCAAUUGCGAAGGCAGCUUACUAAACGAUUAUUGACGCUGAGGCACGAAAGCGUGGGGAUCAAACAGG
rnacentral:rRNA from 1 species